UACGUAGGGGGGCAAGCGUUGUCCGGAUUUAUUGGGCGUAAAGAGCGUGUAGGCGGCCAUACAGGUCCGUUGUGAAAACUGGAGGCUUAACCUCCAGACGUCGAUGGAAACCGUAUGGCUAGAGUGCGGUAGAGGAUGGCGGAAUUCCCGGUGUAGCAGUGAAAUGCGUAGAGAUCGGGAGGAACAUCUGUGGCGAAGGCGGCCAUCUGGACCAGCACUGACACUGAGGCACGAAAGCGUGGGGGAGCAAAACAGG
rnacentral:rRNA from 1 species